rnacentral:rRNA from 1 species
AUUGAACGCUGGCGGCAGGCCUAACACAUGCAAGUCGAGCGGAUGAAGGGAGCUUGCUCCUGGAUUCAGCGGCGGACGGGUGAGUAAUACCUAGGAAUCUGCCUGGUAGUGGGGGAUAACGUCCGGAAACGGGCGCUAAUACCGCAUACGUCCUGAGGGAGAAAGUGGGGGAGCUUCGGACCUCACGCUAUCAGAUGAGCCUAGGUCGGAUUAGCUAGUUGGUGGGGUAAAGGCCUACCAAGGCGACGAUCCGUAACUGGUCUGAGAGGAUGAUCAGUCACACUGGAACUGAGACACGGUCCAGACUCCUACGGGAGGCAGCAGUGGGGAAUAUUGGACAAUGGGCGAAAGCCUGAUCCAGCCAUGCCGCGUGUGUGAAGAAGGUCUUCGGAUUGUAAAGCACUUUAAGUUGGGAGGAAGGGCAGUAAGUUAAUACCUUGCUGUUUUGACGUUACCAACAGAAUAAGCACCGGCUAACUUCGUG